CAUGAAAUGUGUGCAGUGACUGGGAACGGGUGAACGUGUGCGCUGUCGCUCCCUUGGCCUCAAUCUGGACAACAAAACAGUAAUGGGUCUUGUGAUGUACUCAUUAAAGUUGAGACUGCAAGUCCCCCCGCUCCUGCCACUCCUCUGGGUGACGUCCGGGCGGGUGGUCGUGUGAGUCGCAUUGUGACAUAUUAUUGUUUAUUAUUUCCUACACCUACCUACCAUACCAGGAGGACAGCACAAAAUUGGCGACGAGGUGAAAAUUUGUAAGUAAAAAAAUAUAUAUAUAUAUAUGUCAUACGACUACAAAAUUACCUGUUCUAAUCAGUCCAAAGAGUGUGUAACUAUCGCGUUGUUAUUUUAAUGUAACUUGACACGAAUAACAUUAAACUGGUAAAUUUCUAAAUUCACAAGGAAGAGAGAAGAUAAUUUAUUAAUUCUCAAUCAAUUUAUUAAAUAUAGAAAAGACUAAAAGCAAUUUCAAAAAGAAAUAAAGACUUGAUUCUAUAAAUUGUAUAGAGAAAGCAAAAUAUUGAUAAAACAUAUUACGGUGCAUAGUACGUUUUGUAAUUUAGCGACACACUGUGACUGAUUUUAACGCGUUUGCGCAUCAUAGUCGUACAAUAACUUGCUAUACAUGCCUAAACAAAUGGUCGGCGUUUGUUGAUGUCUAGGUAUAUCGUACCGCAAGCUUUCUGUUUAUAUUUACAUCACAGUAUAAGUGAUUAUAACAGUUGAAUUCUUAAGAUAAGUGGUACGGGGAUACCAGCGAAUACUGACUAUACAUACAACAAAAUGUGCCUGCAUGUAUUAGCCGAGUCGGAGUAAUUAUUCUGACAAAUAAAAUACACCGUACAAUCCGAAUGAGCAAAGCCCAUCAAAUACAUAAUUCCACAUAAACUGUAAUCUAUUUAGAUACAAGAAGUUUAUGCAAUUGGUGGUUCCGAUUAUAGAGGUUGCUUCCAUAAUAAAUAGAUUUGUAUGUAGGUAUAAACCUAAUACAAAUGUAAUUAUCAUAAGAUAAUUAUGAUAUAUUCAAACACUUCACAUUAACUUCAUUAUUUGACAGAUAUUUGGUAAGAGUUGAGGUUACGAUUUUAUUUUUCUUACAAGGAACCAGCAGAAUAUUAGCGUUGCCGGUAGUUCUCUGCUUAAUUCUGAGUUGGUUAUCCUUUCGCCGUUGGGGCACAUAUAUUUACCUACGUAUUUAUGUUGGUUUAUAAGUUCAAAAGGCUGUGUUUGUAACUGAGAAUAAUCCAUUUAUCCACCUGUACAACAAGUACAAGUAUUCGCAUUUACAAUAUUGUUGCCUACAAUUAUAAUAGCAUACAUUAUUACGGUAGGUAGGUAUAAUCAUUUAAUAAAAAAUAAAAUAAAAAUAGCCUUUAUUCCUGAAUUACAGAUUCUUUUUUUUAAAUUGUAAAUACUCGUAUGUGUAAAUAAUUAAUGUUGACAUCAGCAACAUCUUAUUUUUCAGGUUGUUUUAGAACAACCAUUUUAGUAUAAUCAUUUAUAAACACAAAAUUCUCGAAAAAAAUAUAAUAAUAAUAACUUAUAAUAUUUCAUUUAGAUUCAAUCCUUGACGGGGUAGUCAGACGCAUUUGUUGACUAUGAUAUACGGUUAAUAUAUUUAUUAAUAAUAGUAACAUAAUUGGUUAUUUGUCGAUUAUCAUUAGUUGACAGUAUUUAUAUAAAUACGUAUAAAUAAUGUACCACCCAUAAAAUUCCCGUUUUGCAAAUUGUCUUAUUAUGACAUCUCAAUUGUCAAAUCGUAGAAAAAUGCAUUUCCUCAGAUCUUAAGUUAAAAGAUAAUUCUACUAAAAUAGAAAUAAAUAUUGUGGAAGCAAUUCAAUAGAGACUGAUGAAAGAUCAGUAAAAGGACACCAAAGAAACCAAAUCUUGUAAAGAGAUUUCAAACGAAAAGAAUAUACGGUGUAUGAAAUGCGAGAGUACAUAUCAAAAUAGUUAUUUAAUGUGUUGCAAGAAAUAACUUCUGCUAAAAGUGUGGAUUUAUAAGCCAUUUAGGUCAAAAGCAAUAUCGCACUAAUCGAAAUAAGUGCAUGAAUGUGCUAGCGCUAGUUAUAUGGCGAAAUAAAUAGUAUAAACCAAAUAAUCCAUCAAGUAAAAAAUAAAUAAAGUUACCAAACAAUCAUUCAACUCUCCUAUAACUACAUUCAUACUGAAUGUUGAACAUACUCUAUUCCACUAUAAAAUAUCUUGCCAAAAUAGUGGAACUAAAUGUUAACCAAACUCUAUUCCAUUAUAAAAUAUCUUGCCAAUAUAGUGGAACUAAAUGUUAACCAUACUCUAUUCCAUUAUAAAAUAUCUUGCCAAAAUAGUGGAACUAAAUGUUAACCAUACUCUAUUCCAUUAUAAAAUAUCUUGCCAAAAUAGUGGAACUAAAUGUUAACCAUACUCUAUUCCAUUAUAAAAUAUCUUGCCAAAAUUGUGGAACUAAAUGUUAACCAUACUCUAUUCCAUUAUAAAAUAUCUUGCCAAAAUUGUGGAACUAAAUGUUAACCAUACUCUAUUCCAUUAUAAAAUAUCUUGCCAAAAUAGUGGAACUAAAUGUUAACCAUACUCUAUUCCAUUAUAAAAUAUCUUGCCAAAAUUGUGGAACUAAAUGUUAACCAUACUCUAUUCCAUUAUAAAAUAUCUUGCCAAAAUUGUGGAACUAAAUGUUAACCAUACUCUAUUCCAUUAUAAAAUAUCUUGCCAAAAUUGUGGAACUAAGUGUAACUCUAUUCUAUUAUAAAAUAUCUUGUCAAAAUGGUGGAACUAAAUGUUAACCAUCCUCUAUUCCACUAUAAAAUAUAUAUCUUGCCAAAGUGAUGGAGUUACAUUAAACAUACCCAUUGAUUUGGGUACAAAACUAGUAUACCCAUAAAUUCGGGUACAAAACUAACAUACCCAUCAAUUCGGGUACAAAACUAACAUACCCAUUAAUUCGGGUACAAAAGUAACAUACCCAUCAAUUGGGGUACAAAAGUAACAAUAAUAAUAAUAGUCGACAAAACCUAGGACUACUUAAAAAAAAACUAACCAAGAAAAAUCUGACAAAAUUCUAGGACAUAUAGUCCUAAAGACUCGCUGAUGUACUGGGCCCAUUUAAAAUGUCAGUCUUGGUUGGAUUUGGAAGAAGUAGAGAAAAAUUGUACUCGUAGCUUAUUGUGUACCUAAGAGACUGCUAUGAUUCUUUAUAUAUUACAAUUAAGUUGUAUAUUAAUUUACUAAACACAAAACAAACAAAAAAAUCCAAAAUUCAAAUUCAAUAUCUAAAUGAACAUCAGUUAGAUAUUGAUCAUAAAAUCAAGUAUUUAGUAAAAUAAAAUAGUAUAGCUCAAAUAAACAGAAAAUAUAAUCGAACUUAUAGACAAAGCUGCGAAUUGAGUUUCUCUAGUCAUACUUAUUUUAAAGAAUAGAAAAAAGGAAUAUAAAUCUGUCUGUCAAGGGAAAAGUCCUAAACAAAAAAUGUGCAUGCUAAUCUUGGUAAAAAACAUGUUACAAUUACUACAUAAUUAAAAUACCUAAUAUGUAUUUACUGCACACACACAACAAGAUAAAUUUAUUUGUUUAUGCAAAUAAAUUUAUCUUUAUCUAAACCUGGCUUAAAAGAUGCUUUUUAUCAAAUUGAGAUUAGAGAGAAUGUACUUAACUUUUUAUAACAAGCAAGUGGUUAUUUCGUUUCGAUUACGAACCUACUACAAUAAAUAAUUAAAACUCUGUUUAUUUAAAUCUCUGUUUAAAGUGACUAAAUAUUAUAUUAUUUAGUCUGUGUAACAAUGGUACUUGUAAUUUAACUUGUCAAAAUCUAUAAAUUAUAUAAAUAUAAUUUAUUACUUUAAGUAUCUUUAUUUUUAAUAACAGAGACUUACUUUAGUUUAAAUAUAAACAAAUAUUGGUCACGGUUUUGUAGCAAGACAUGAAAACCACCAACUAAUAGGUAUAUUAAUAUACACAUGAAUGUUUUAAAUGUAACAAUUGGAAAUAAUCCCAAAUAAAGGAAAUGAAUAAGACACCUAAACAUGUAUUGAAUAUCUUACACAAGAUUAACUGUUUGUUAAUAUUUUAAUUUCGAACAAAUGAUGUAAGGCUAAAACAUGUCCUAUAUCUAUUUAAAUUCGCGAUUCACAACGCGAAAGUUUAAAAAUGUGUUCAACGUAUUUUAACUUUGUAAGGCAAAAUAAUAUACCUACAUAUCCGUACACGUAGGUUACAAAUAAUGUAUUAAUAAAGGAUUUAUGUUCAUGUUUAAUCAAUCGUAAGUAGAAUUUUUAGGGCAUGAGCUAAUCUCAGAAAGUAUUACUUGUAAGUCCCUAAAGACUAUAGAAUCACUUAGAAAACCAAUUGUUUUUGGAAAAUUUUAAAGUUAUAAAACUAGUAACCUAUUUUGAGAAAUAAAUAUGAUAAUGUGUUAUAAUAUUAUUUAGAUUUUAUGUGUAAAUAUUUUAGAGAUAUGUAUACAACUCUAUAUUAUCAAUAUCUUAAAUUACAAGUUGUUCACAGUCACACUUAUCUAUCUUUAUCAAUUUAUUGGUACACAAUAAAAGAAAAUGGACUCAAAAUUUGGCUACAAUGAUUGAACAAAUACAUAAAAUGUUAAGGCGUAAGCUCGCUAAAUAUACUGUGUUCAGAGUUCUGGAAAGAAAAGUAAACAUUUACAGUAAUUCGUAAUUUCCAAGCAAAAAGAGUUAGUAAAUUGUGGAUACUAAGUUUUAUAAGCCAUGCACGUAGUAGUUAGAUGCUCCCAGGAAAACUGAACCUUAAAGUCAAUCAUUACAAACUCUUUAAAUACGAAUUCUGAGUCCUUUAUUAAUGGUUUUCUAUUUUUAUUUCAUUUGAGAUAGCGUAAACGAGCAUUCGCUACGACUCAGGAUAAUUAUUCUGGCACCCCGGCACUGUUGCCGUAAACAGUAGAUUAUGUAUCAAGGUACAAAGGAUUGAUAUCAGUUUUGGUACAUAUAAUAGAUGUCGUAAUCAAUGUUCAUGAAGAAAUAAAAUUUUGUCUACAUUACAUCUGAUCUAAAACAAUAUAUUAUGUAACAUUCCUAAAAUUAAUCGAUGUCUAAACUAUAAUAAAUGUGACAUACUUAUGUAAAUAUUGAGAUUAUAAAUAGUAACGUCUCUAAUAUUGUCAGUAUAUGUAUUGUAGGAAUUAUUAAUUGGAAUUCUGAUAUACUUAGUAUAAGACCAUAAAUCUUCUUAAAAGUACAUAAGUAAAAGAAAUUUUACAAGACUUGACACUUUAUUCAGCACAACAUUGGAUAACUGCUUAGAAUUUGGUAUUAAACUAUACUAUUCGACACCAUAUUGACCGCAGUAGAACGAAGCAAGUAGAAUACAAAAAUGUGACAUUAUAAUACGUGUACAAAUAAAUUAAAACCCAAAAUCUGACUGGAGGGAUAAACUCCUGCUAUACCUCAUAAGUUACAAUAUCAUGCCACAUUAUUGAUUUGUCAUUAGAGAUAAAAUAUCUUCUAUUGUAAAUGCUAAGAAUAAUGAGAUUUAUUUAGAAUGGUAGAGACAAAUCAAUAAAAGAACAUUUUAAAAUUGGAAGGGAAAGAUAUAGUGACAUAGAUAUUGAAAAUAGGAGAAAGUGUAUUCGGAAUAUAAUUAAAGAAAAUAUAUAUGCGAUACUUCAAUCCCUGUAUACAUAUACUUAUUGGCGCUAUAUCUAUAAGAAAAUAUGGUACUAGACAAGAAUUGAGAUGAAAUAUACACAAUAAUAUACUUAAGAAGAUGGAAGAUCAGUAAGAAAUUAUAAGGAUGAUGAAAAGAAAGAUCUCGAUGGACUUCGAGAGGAAAUAGUCAUAUAGUUAUUUUUAUACAAACCAGUCUUAUUAUAUUUAGUUGCCUAAGUUAUAUUUUGUAACAUAAUAUAUAUGGUAAUAUCAUGAUAUUAUUUUAGUUACCUAUGAUUGUAAUGUAAAACUAUAUUGUUGUAGUUGUAUCUAUAUGAAAUUUGUGAGUAAUUGUAUCCUUUCACAUUUUGUUGUAAAUUCAACUUUGUUUGAAAAAAGCAACAGCUAAGUUUCUUGCCCGUUCUUCUUAGCUGAAAUUGCAUUCCGAAUGGGCGGUAGAUUUAUAAAAAAAAUGACUAUUCAAAAAUGCUUAAAAAAUAAUAAUUAAGUUUCCUAGAGUAAAAAUAUUCAUAUUCUAUUAUUAAUUUAAAAUAUUUUGAAAAGGGAGAGAUGUGAUGUACUCAUUAAAGUUGAGACUGCAAGUCCCCCCGCUCCUGCCACUCCUCUGGGUGACGUCCGGGCGGGUGGUCGUGUGAGUCGCAUUGUGACAUA